rnacentral:rRNA from 1 species
AAAUUGAAGAGUUUGAUCAUGGCUCAGAUUGAACGCUGGCGGCAGGCCUAACACAUGCAAGUCGAGCGGAAACGAGUUAUCUGAACCUUCGGGGGACGAUAACGGCGUCGAGCGGCGGACGGGUGAGUAAUGCCUAGGAAAUUGCCCUGAUGUGGGGGAUAACCAUUGGAAACGAUGGCUAAUACCGCAUAAUGCCUACGGGCCAAAGAGGGGGACCUUCGGGCCUCUCGCGUCAGGAUAUGCCUAGGUGGGAUUAGCUAGUUGGUGAGGUAAUGGCUCACCAAGGCGACGAUCCCUAGCUGGUCUGAGAGGAUGAUCAGCCACACUGGAACUGAGACACGGUCCAGACUCCUACGGAGGCAGCAGUGGGGAAUAUUGCACAAUGGGCGCAAGCCUGAUGCAGCCAUGCCGCGUGUGUGAAGAAGGCCUUCGGGUUGUAAAGCACUUUCAGUCGUGAGGAAGGUGGUGUAGUUAAUAGCUGCAUUAUUUGACGUUAGCGACAGAAGAAGCACCGGCUAACUCCGUGCCAGCAGCCGCGGUAAUACGGAGGGUGCGAGCGUUAAUCGGAAUUACUGGGCGUAAAGCGCAUGCAGGUGGUUUGUUAAGUCAGAUGUGAAAGCCCGGGGCUCAACCUCGGAAUAGCAUUUGAAACUGGCAGACUAGAGUACUGUAGAGGGGGGUAGAAUUUCAGGUGUAGCGGUGAAAUGCGUAGAGAUCUGAAGGAAUACCGGUGGCGAAGGCGGCCCCCUGGACAGAUACUGACACUCAGAUGCGAAAGCGUGGGGAGCAAACAGGAUUAGAUACCCUGGUAGUCCACGCCGUAAACGAUGUCUACUUGGAGGUUGUGGCCUUGAGCUGUGGCUUUCGGAGCUAACGCGUUAAGUAGACCGCCUGGGGAGUACGGUCGCAAGAUUAAAACUCAAAUGAAUUGACGGGGGCCCGCACAAGCGGUGGAGCAUGUGGUUUAAUUCGAUGCAACGCGAAGAACCUUACCUACUCUUGACAUCCAGAGAACUUUCCAGAGAUGGAUUGGUGCCUUCGGGAACUCUGAGACAGGUGCUGCAUGGCUGUCGUCAGCUCGUGUUGUGAAAUGUUGGGUUAAGUCCCGCAACGAGCGCAACCCUUAUCCUUGUUUGCCAGCGAGUAAUGUCGGGAACUCCAGGGAGACUGCCGGUGAUAAACCGGAGGAAGGUGGGGACGACGUCAAGUCAUCAUGGCCCUUACGAGUAGGGCUACACACGUGCUACAAUGGCGCAUACAGAGGGCAGCAAGCUAGCGAUAGUGAGCGAAUCCCAAAAAGUGCGUCGUAGUCCGGAUUGGAGUCUGCAACUCGACUCCAUGAAGUCGGAAUCGCUAGUAAUCGUGGAUCAGAAUGCCACGGUGAAUACGUUCCCGGGCCUUGUACACACCGCCCGUCACACCAUGGGAGUGGGCUGCAAAAGAAGUAGGUAGUUUAACCUUCGGGAGGACGCUUACCACUUUGUGGUUCAUGACUGGGGUGAAGUCGUAACAAGGUAGCGCUAGGGGAACCUGGCGCUGGAUCACCUCCUUAAACGAUGAU